GAUGAACGCUGGCGGCGUGCCUAAUACAUGCAAGUCGAGCGAACAGACGAGGAGCUUGCUCCUCUGACGUUAGCGGCGGACGGGUGAGUAACACGUGGAUAACCUACCUAUAAGACUGGGAUAACUUCGGGAAACCGGAGCUAAUACCGGAUAAUAUAUUGAACCGCAUGGUUCAAUAGUGAAAGACGGUUUUGCUGUCACUUAUAGAUGGAUCCGCGCCGCAUUAGCUAGUUGGUAAGGUAACGGCUUACCAAGGCAACGAUGCGUAGCCGACCUGAGAGGGGGAUAGGCCACACUGGAACUGAGACACGGUCCAGACUACUACGGGAGGCAGCAGUAGGGAAUCUUCCGCAAUGGGCGAAAGCCUGACGGAGCAACGCCGCGUGAGUGAUGAAGGUCUUCGGAUCGUAAAACUCCGUUAUUAGGGAAGAACAAAUGUGUAAGUAACUAUGCACGUCUUGACGGUACCUAAUCAGAAAGCCACGGCUAACUACGUG
rnacentral:rRNA from 1 species